GAGUUUGAUCUUGGCUCAGGAUGAACGCUGGCGGCGUGCCUAACACAUGCAAGUCGAGCGAAGCACUUUACUCUGAAUCUUUCGGGGGGACGAGUGAUUUGACUGAGCGGCGGACGGGUGAGUAACGCGUGGGUAACCUGCCUCACACAGGGGGAUAACAGUUAGAAAUGACUGCUAAUACCGCAUAAGGCCACAGCACCGCAUGGUGCAGGGGUAAAAACUCCGGUGGUGUGAGAUGGGCCCGCGUCUGAUUAGUUAGUUGGCGGGUAAC
rnacentral:rRNA from 1 species